UUCACAGACUUUUGCUUGCUU
rnacentral:piRNA from 1 species